AUAUCCGUCAUGGAGGUUACUGAGAAGGUGGUGCCCAAAAACGCCCAGCUGCUAUCUCUUGGCCACAAGGACACUUGUCGCCUCUUGGAGGUGUAUGUGAAGCGCAGCAUCAGUUUAAAUGAUGGGACAUGUGAGGACCAGAGGUCACCAACAACGCCUCAGAAGUGGGUGACACUGUCAGAGAAAUGCAGAAGGGUCCGCCGGCAUUCUAGUGACCCCUUGAUCACCUUGGAGCCCAGCACACCUGACGAGGGCAUUGCCAGUAGCACACCACCUGAUGAGGAAGUUGUUAUACCAAAUGUGUCUCUAGUAGAAAUCCCUGGACCUGCUGACAUUCCUGAGAUUGAGACUUCUACUGAACUGGAGAAUAAGUCUAAAAAGGGCAAGAAGAAGAGCAAAAAGACCUCUUUCUGGAAAGGUUUUCUGGGGGUUUUCACGACGAAGGGGAGUGACAAGAAAGACGAGCAGGAGUCUGGCACAGAGAAAGAUGGACAGUCACAAGGAACCUUGCAGAAAAAGAAAUCCAUAAGGCAAAGGAGCUCCAUGAGGAGGUUAUCUCUGAGAAAAAUCAAGAUUGACAGCCACAGAGGGUCUGUGAAGAGACCAUUGGCUUUGGACAGGGCCAAGACCACUGACAUAACUGGAGUUGAAUCGGUUGAGAGUGUGGGGCCUACUGACUCGUACUAUGAGAAAGUUUCAGAAGAGCUGGAGAAGAUUGUGCAUGAGGUGAAAGAGACAGAGGCAGCUCUUACAGAUGGCUGUAUCACAACCGUCCAUGAUUUGGAAUCCCAUAGGGCGGCGCACAAUUGGCCCAGCGUCGUCCAGGUUUGGCUGGUGUA
ensembl:lncRNA